CAAUUCGACCCCUAGCCUGGGAACCUCCAUAUGCCUCAGGAGCGGCCCUAGAAAAGGCAAAAAGACAAAACAACAACAAAAAACCCACUUUGAAAGUCUUUACGUUUUUGCUUCACUUUAAUAGUUACUAAUGCAUCAGUUUAACCAGCCUACUGCAAAAUUGUGAAAGUAUAUUAAAAAAAUUUACAGUGAAAAAUCUUUCCCAAUUAGGUUUUGUAUAUGGCUCUACAGAUAUCGUUAUAUUGUUGCUAUUUUAAAUUUUCAUGAUUUCUUCCAUGUCUCUCUAUAAUAUAUUUAUAACGUUGGCACUGCUUCGUAUGUCAACUUUAGUCUGUAUAUACUGACUUCUCGUUAUGACUGUGAAGAGGAGACUUACUCCUUAAUUUCUUUUGAACUGUAUGAGCUUUUAGUCCUACACAAGCAUUAUUUUUUGAAAAAUUAAAAGUAAUUCAACUCCUUAGAGGGCUUUUAUGUAAAUAUCAAACAAACCAAUAGACAGAACUUACUCCAAGAGAUUGGAGAACUAACCAAUAUUUGGGUUGAGCCAGAGUUUUCAUAUUAACUUAAAGAAAUUAAGUUUGAUUGCCAGACGCCGAGCGUAGGGAGUGGGCACCCACACCUCACCGGCUGGGUACUGCUGUCACGCCCUUUUAAGAGGGCAGCGCCCUUCUAUGGCCCCACUCCUAGACGGCUAAAGAAGUAAACGAAGGCUCUUACCGCCACCGUCUCUUAAAGGGGAAAUUCAUUUCCAGCGUCUAAAAUGGGAGCUUGCAGCAGCGUCUCGCCUUAAGCCUUCCAGUCUACAAUCAGACUUAAGAUGCACUCUGACAAUGGGAGGUCCCAAGAAGGAACACGUGCUGCCAAAUACUAACCAGGAGAAUUUGGGAGGGGCCGAGAGAAGGAAGGAGGUGACCAACCUCCCAGGAUCCUUGGCGCUGGAAUCCAUCUUGGCUGAGGGAUGCAUGUGCCACCAGAAAAGGACCCCAGCUCAGACCAAAUUAUGGGCCAAACAAGAUGACUGGCCAGAGACAACCCAGACACUAACCUCAUUACCAUAAAACCUGAGGCUUUGAGCCACAUGGCAGCAAAUCCGAUUCCCUUACCCUACUGUUCUCUGCCCAGGGAGCCUCUUCCCAAUAAAGCUUUUUGCUUUGUCAAAAAAAAAAAAAAAAAAAAA